CAGUCGCCGCGGGAAUACGUAGGUGGCAAGCGUUGUCCGGAAUUAUUGGGCGUAAAGGGCUCGCAAGCGGUUUCUUAAGUCUGAUGUGAAAGCCCCCGGCUCAACCGGGGAGGGUCAUUGGAAACUGGGAAACUUGAGUGCAGAAGAGGAGAGUGGAAUUCCACGUGUAGCGGUGAAAUGCGUAGAGAUGUGGAGGAACACCAGUGGCGAAGGCGACUCUCUGGUCUGUAACUGACGCUGAGGAGCGAAAGCGUGGGGAGCGAACAGGAUUAGAUACCCGAGUAGUCCCUGUCUCUUAUAC
rnacentral:rRNA from 1 species